CUCUUUAGUCACGUGGAGAAACCAAUGUUUAGAUCAUAAUUGGUAUAAACCUCUAUUAUAAUUACUACGGCCUAUGUAAUGCACCGACGACACCUGGAAUCAUCACCGUCACGGCGGACUCCUUCAGCGAUGUCCAAGACGUGAGGUCUCUUCACAUAGAGUGCGUGCAGUUUCGAGGCUUUCCAACUCCAUUCAUAAAUCAAGAGUACCUUGAACGAAUAGAUUUCCUCGACAACCACUUUACCGAAUUUCCUCGAGAGUUCUGUGCAAAUAUUUCGUCUAUCAAAUCCAUAAGAGUAAACUAUCAGCAGAUUACGAAACUGUCUGCAACUUCUUUCUCUUCAAUCGCGAGUUAUCUGCAGAAUCUCGAGUUGGGGCACAUUCAGCUGAAAAUUAUCGAACCAAACACAUUCUCAAGGUUCAGGUACCUGAAAAACCUGAGAUUGAACGGCAAUCAGCUAGAGAUACUGCGACCUGACAUGUUCGAUAAUCUCAGUUUUCUAGAGACUCUUGAUUUGGGAGAAAAUGUCAUCAGAACGAUAAAACCUGAAACUUUUUCCGCUUUAACUCGUCUCCGUGCAUUAUUCUUGCAGUCGAAUCAUUUAAGAAACUUGCCACAGAAAAUAUUCAGUGAUCUUCUGAAUUUGGAGAUGUUGUACCUUCAUGGAAAUAGAUUCAUCAAGGAUCCCAUUGAUUUAGUGACAGGACUUCUUCAGCUCACAGAUUAUUCUGGGGUAGUCAAUAAAACUUUGAACGUUUAUCAAUAAAAUCAGUCCGUCUGGAUCUUCUGUUAUCUAUCCCAUCACACCGGUUUAAUGUAUAAAUAUAAUAUAUAUAUAUCAUAUAUUUUACACAUUUAAAUUCAU